rnacentral:rRNA from 1 species
AACGAACGCUGGCGGCAUGCCUAACACAUGCAAGUCGAACGAGACCUUCGUGUCUUGUGGCGCACGUGUGCGUAACGCGUGGGAACCUGCCCUUAGGUUCCGAAUAACUCCCCGAAAGGGGUGCUAAUACCACUUAAUGUCUUCGGACCAAAGAUUUAUCGCCUUUGGGUGGGCGCGCGUUGGUUUCGCCGGUUGGUAGUGUAAAAGCCUAGCAUGGCGACGUUCCUUAGCUGGUCGGGGAGGAUGGUCAGCCCCACUGGGAAUGAGACACGGCCCAGACUCCGACGGGAGGGAGCAGUAGGGAAUAUUGGACAAGGGGGGAAAGCGUGAUCCGGCAAUGAGGGGUAAGAGAGGAAGGGCGUAGGGUUGUAAAGCUCUUUGACCCGGGACGAUAAUGACAGUACCGGGAGAAGAAGCUCCGGCUAACUACGUG